GGACCCGAUAGUGAGAGGAAGGCAGGUCCGCUCGUUCGGUCGUUUCCUUCUCCUGUCCACUGACCAGAGGUAAAAACCUAAAUCGAAGGCGCUCCCCCAAUCCUCGCAUCCCUCCUCGCUCCCCAAUCCCCGCUCCUUCUUUGCUCCCCGGAUCCCCGGCGACCUCUCUCUCCCUCUCCCCAACGAUGGUGCACCGCCGCUCCCCGAGAUGGAGCCGGACGGGCUCGGCCGCUAUGGCAGGCCGGAGGAGGCGACGCAGGUGGGCGGCGGCGCGCCGCCUUGAGAAAAUCGUCCACAACUCGGGGGCUCGAGAUCUCCGUUCAAGGGCAUGCCUAGAUGUGAUGGGAGCCUUGAAAGAGGGGGUGAUUUGGAGGAGGAGGAGAGGUGGAGGUGCAGUGGAGGCGGGGGAUGGAGGUGGCUGGAGGCGGUACCUCUACUGCCGCCGCCGCUCUUCAAUGUGCCGGUGACGCCGGUGGCGACCAAGCAACAGGACGACGACGACGAGGAAAGUCGGAGGUGCCUAUUUGUUUCCAGUUUUCCUAAUAGUGAAUUUAGCCUUGGUAUCUCCUUUUGAUGUGUUGACACAUUCACUCCGUGGGUUAGCUAGCAGAGCCUCUUUUCCUUCUACAUGAUAGUGUUGAUUUCUCUGAACAGUGAACAAUGGUUGGACAUAGAUUAGUCAUAACAAGCAGAAGUAUGGCUGCAAUUGUCCAUGAAGCACUCCAGCUCCUGUCACCUUGUUGAAGUGCCUGCACAAGAUCUGGACAUGCUCUCAUAUUGCCCCAGGUUAUACUGAUGGGUCAUCGUGGAGAUUAUGACUAGGCUGCUGAUGGGCAACUUCAUCGUGAACAAAGACUCUGGGACGGGGAAAUUUAGGGGACUGCUCCAGGUGUUGAUUCUGCAAGACAGCAAGCCACCUUAUUAGUGCCAGUCACUUGCUAUGUAUUGCGAACUGUGCGGUUAAGAAAAUGUAUGGCUCCGACAGGCGACAGUUCCCUUGGGAAUUAGUAUUCUGCAGACUGCAUGUAUUGCUCCUCUAGGUUAAGAAAUUUGUGCUACCACUCUGUUGCCAAUGGAGGCAUAGAUUUAUCCUAGCUCGUUACUGUCAUCGGCAUUAUUUGUUUUGUACAACACCUAUUCGAUAAAAUUCCAGUGAGAAAAAAUCAAGUGGAUGCAAGGUGGUGAGAGAGUGUCAGCAGCGGCUCGAGCGAAAUCGAGCGUGCGGCAGCUCGAGCGCCAUUGAGCACGCCGCAGCACCCUUUCUGCGGAAGUGCCAUUCAAGACUAGGUGCAGCUUCGGAAGUUGCGCACGUAUCGAGUGACUACGAGCAUGGCCGAGAGACGAUUGGUAACUUGCAGAUUAUGAGCACGCCCGAGGGUUGAAGCUUGCUAUUUACAGUGAUGUUGGGUAUGCCAAACACUAAUCUGUUCUCAUUCUGUUGCAACUAAACUCUGCAUACUUCUAUGUGAUUACUUGAGAAUACUGUUUCUAUGACAUGUCUGGCUUGCUGCUGCUGCCGAGCAAAAUCAAUGGCUUCUUCAGUUAAACAAGAUUAUGUUCUCAGGAGCAGAUCUUGGCAACUGAUGCAGAAGUUCCUACAGCUUGGUAAUAUUUUUUUGUUGGGAUGAAUUGACUCGGAAGGAAAAUCAAGCUCUUUUGACAUUUGUUGAGACUAAAGCCUAUGCAUUUACCAGUGAUUUUGUACAUACUUAUACUUAUAUUGUUUACUAAACUUUCUAUAUAUGUAUUUUGGUAAUGCAUAUAUAAAAUCUUGAACCGAUUUUUUGGGAUUAAUUAGAUAGAUGCCACUGCAAUUUUUGGCUAUUUGAGAAACACCACUACAACUUUCGUCUUUUGAAAAAUGCCACUACAAUUUUAUAUACAUUCCAUAAAAGCCAUUACGUCCAUUUAAACACUUAUACCGGCUAAUAUACACUUGUAUUUUUAGCUUAGAUAUGUAUACAUGGUGGGCUGCACCUGAAAAAGCAUAGGAAGGUAACAGUAAAAUUAAAAAAUAAAUGGAUAAAAUUUUGACAGAAUAAAAUUGAACAAAAUAAUAUUUAGUCUUAAAUAUGUACGUUGAAGAUCUAAGUUCAACAUCUCAUACAUUAAAUCUCAUACAUGUUCUCAUCGUCAAAAUGUAAUACAUUUCUUUUCAUUAUCAAUUUGGUCAGCUAAAUCAUAUUUGGAUUAGCGGCCAGCAUCUACAUCAUUUGUUUUUAUCCUAGGCAUAUAAGUUAUUAUGCUAGCUUAAAACUAGCAACCUGAGAUGCGGAAACUCAAAUCGGUUGAGCAAGCUCCGGUUACACAUACCAAGAAUAGACAAGAAAUACAGUCAAUUACGGGAGGAGCUGGCUACCCCCCGGUGUUCUACCAAGAAUAGACACUGGUGUUUUAGAGUUCCGGUCUGAACUGCCCACGAUACAUGAGAGUGAGAUGCGAAUCUUCAUUUUUGUUUCGGGUGGACCUUGCCACCGUGUCCCAGCAUCAAGCUAAAGUGAAUAGGCCCCACCCUUAUACUUAUUUUGGACAAAAUACAAGUAUAUUUUGGUCAGUAUGUGUGAUUAAAUAGACAUAAUGUUGUCUGUAGAACGUACAGAGAAUUGUAGUGGUGUUUUCAAAAGACGAAAAUUGUAGUGGCGUUUCUCAAAUAGUUGGAAAUUGCAAUGGCCAUCUAUCUAAUUAACCCUUUUUUUUGUCUUGAAGUAGAUACAUUUUUUCUUGGAAUUAGUAAUUUUCUUUUUAUGCUUUUUUUAUUGUGCUACCUCUUUCGAUACAAUAAGCAUAAUUUAGUGGAGGAGCUUAUACAAAAGCAUAAAAGCUAAAAAAAAUAGUGUGAAAUCGCAAUAAAUUGUGAAUGCAAGAUAGUAAAGCAGUUAAAUUCCGAGCUAAUUUUUAAUACUAAAAUAAGUUAAAACUUAUGGUUUAAAUUCUAACUUGAUAACGUCAUUUGCGCGAUAGCGCAACGGGUCAUCAAUACAGUGGAAGAUCAUAAAGUGAGAAAAUAAUUAUCGCAAUGGACGGCUGUUGUGAAAAGCGGGGCUAGAACUUACUGUGCCUACGGGAUUGGACGACCCAGAUCAAUGUGCCCCUUUGGAUGGCCUGGUUGGCCGAGUAGUGUAAUUUUUUAGAUAUUGGUAAUCUGAAAUCCUCUUUCAUAUGUUGACGUGUUGCAACAAUAGUAUUGCCGCAUAGAGUUUCAUGAGUGACAUUGGCAUGUGUGGUUAUUUGAAGAGAUGGAUUUUCCUAGGUGGCAUAUAAGGAGUAUUUUAGAGUCAAAUAAGCUGACCGCGAAUUGUAUCUUUUUGCAUUCAGAUUUGUAUUGAGUAACAGUCCCUGAAAGCAUUAAUAUGGAGGACGUUUGCACAUGGUGGCACUUCAAACUGUAUGCAUGUCAGUUUUUCUCUUCUCAUCUUCCAUGCAAGGAGCUCAAAUUGGCACAUUUAACCUUCUGAUGAGCUCGCCUUGCAGCAGGUUCAAUUCGCUCCUUCACUAUUAUUAUCAAGUACAGUAUACUGGAGCAUAUCAACUUCUUAAAUUUAUGUUGCAGCCUAGAAUAUAUCAACAUCAAAAAUAUAUCAGCCAGUUUCUGUACGGGAGAGAUAGGUGGUUCUGGAGGUCGAGCAGGGAGGAGGGAGCUAGAGAAGCGGUGCAGCGACGGAGUUGGAGGAUCAGGGAGGGGCUAUGUUGGCCCGGCUCUGUCCCUCACGAAGAUGAGCACAUCUCCUUCCUCACGGGAGAGAUAUGCAUUUCAUUUCAAGUAUUAUGGACAAUGAUUCUUUCUGUCCUGGCAAAACCUCUGAUUCACCCAAUGUUGGUAAGAUAAACUAUGUCUCCACCUUUGCUAACUUUGUUUCUUGAUCAUAUUAAAUGGAAAUUGUGUUUCUUAGAAAAAAAAACUCAAACACAGUUUUACAAAAGUUAGGUAGAAAUUAGGUGUUCUUAUUAUGCGGAAAAGUACUAUUUUUCUCUGCUAUGUAAUGGAGCUUUCUGAUUACAUGAUUCGUUUUGUGCUUCAAAAUUUUCAUUUAUUUACAGUGUUUCGUUUAAUAUAUUACAUGGGAUUUAUGUCAUUUCAUCCAUAUUGCUAUUGUGUGUUGCUUUAGUGCCACCCUUGGCAUAAUGAUUUGGUAGGACUAAGCAUGGGAUUUCCCUUGAGGAAUGCCCAAAAUAAAUUUAAUGAUAUUAAAAUUGCUUUUUUCUACAAAUAUGUGAUCAUUGGCAACUACGGCAACGCCUUGAGUCGAUAGUCGACGCCAACAGUGAAACACAAGCAAUUCGUGAUGUAGUUAACCUUAAUGCAAGGCAUAUUUGCUAAAUUGAGGACAACAUUAGUGCCCUAUUCUUCUCCAAGAUAAACAUACAGUAUGGAGUCCAAGGCAAUCACUCACCAUGCUUACUUUGUGUAUGUAAACUUUAUGAAUUGCACAAGAGGUUCUAGGCGAACAAAUGCUUAUUGUAGGAUUGGAGUCUACCUUAGGAUCAGUUUAUCCUAUGGGCCUAUACUACAGUGUUUAUCUGGCGACGGGGAGCUACUGCUGCCGGAGCAAAAGACGUGUCUUCCCCGAGCUGAAGCCGCCAGCCACCGCGCCUGCUUGCUGCUGCUGCCGAGAAAAAUCGCAGGCUUCUUCAGUUAAACAAGAACUGAUGCAGAAAUUAUAGAACCCUAUGUGAAGAAAAUUAUGGAUGAGAAUCGUGGAUAGAAGUAUGGGUGUGGAGCCAUGGGGUGUUCAAAAGUUUUGCAUGCUCCUGAGUUUGUUCAAAAUCAACUAAAACUCAAGCACCCUGAUUUGGUCUCUGUGUUCACUUCUGGAUUUUUUGGUGAUAUCACCUGAUCAUGUAUGCUGUUCAGUUGUGCGGCUAUGCCCCUUUGUCUUUGAAUUCAGCUUUGUUGAUUGUUAU